UACGUAGGCAGCAAGCGUUGUUCGGAAUUACUGGGCGUAAAGAGUGUGUAGGCGGUGCUCCAAGUCUGGUGUGAAAUCUCCCGGCUUAACUGGGAGGGUGCAUUAGAAACUGGAAUGCUAGAGGAUGGGAGAGGUAAGCGGAAUUCCUGGUGUAGCGGUGAAAUGCGUAGAUAUCAGGAGGAACACCAAUGGCGAAGGCAGCUCGCUGGGACGUGACUGACGCUGAGACGCGAAAGCGUGGGGAGCAAACAGG
rnacentral:rRNA from 1 species